UACGAAGGGGGCUAGCGUUGCUCGGAAUCACUGGGCGUAAAGCGCACGUAGGCGGCUUUUUAAGUCAGGGGUGAAAUCCUGGAGCUCAACUCCAGAACUGCCUUUGAUACUGAGAAGCUUGAGUCCGGGAGAGGUGAGUGGAACUGCGAGUGUAGAGGUGAAAUUCGUAGAUAAUCGCAAGAACACCAGUGGCGAAGGCGGCUCACUGGCCCGGUACUGACGCUGAGGUGCGAAAGCGUGGGGAGCAAACAGG
rnacentral:rRNA from 1 species